AUUGAACGCUGGCGGCAGGCCUAACACAUGCAAGUCGAACGAGUGGCGGACGGGUGAGUAAUGUCUGGGAAACUGCCUGAUGGAGGGGGAUAACUACUGGACACGGUAGAUAAUACCGCAUACCAUCAGAAGUGCCCAGAUGGGAUUAGAUAGUGGGUGGGGUAACGGCUCACCUAGGCGACGAUCCCUAGCGGGUCUGAGAGGAUGAACAGCCACACUGGGACUGAGACACGGUCCAGACUCCUACGGGAGGCAGCAGUGGGGAAUAUUGCACAAUGGGCGCAAGCCUGAUGCAGCCAUGCCGCGUGUAUGAAGAAGGCCUUCGGGUUGUAAAGUACUUUCAGCGGGGAGGCGUUACCCGCAGAAGAAGCACCGGCUAACUCCGUGCCAGCAGCCGCGGUAAUAC
rnacentral:rRNA from 1 species